rnacentral:rRNA from 1 species
AUGAACGCUAGCGGCAGGCCUAACACAUGCAAGUCGAGGGAGGAGCUUUCGGGCUUCGACCGGCGUACGGGUGCGUAACGCGUAUACAAUCUGCCUUUCACAUAGGGAUAGCCCGAAGAAAUUUGGAUUAAUACCUAAUGGUAUAUAGAGGUGGCAUCACCUUUAUAUUAAAGCUGAGGCGGUGAAAGAUGAGUAUGCGUUCUAUUAGCUAGUUGGAGAGGUAACGGCUCCCCAAGGCGACGAUAGAUAGGGGUUCUGAGAGGGAUAUCCCCCACACUGGUACUGAGAUACGGACCAGACUCCUACGGGAGGCAGCAGUGAGGAAUAUUGGACAAUGGUCGGAAGACUGAUCCAGCCAUGCCGCGUGCAGGAAGACGGCCUUAUGGGUUGUAAACUGCUUUUGCAGGGGAAGAAUAAGGACUACGCGUAGUUUGAUGACGGUACUCUGCGAAUAAGCAUCGGCUAACUCCGUG